GUCCGUGUCCGCCGUCCUCAGGGCCAGGGAGACUCUCCAGCACCAAGCAGAUUUCUGUGAGACUUUGAUUUCAGUGAGUUUGCAGAGGUACAUUCAGUGUCUUACUGGGAGUCCUGAAGAUUUUCUUGUCAUCAGGAAAAUAAUUGGCAAGCUACAAAUCAUUUCCUGCUGUGGGGAAGCUGACAGUGGAAAGAAGGGUGAGGAAGCCAACCCUGGCGAGGAGGAAGAUGAAGAGGUGUGGGAGGAUGGAGACAGCGGCCCCCAAAGGCUGGGGAAGGCCCAGCUCCAGCCCUGUGCUUCCCAGAGGUGGUGCUUUAGGAAACCCCUCCAGCCUGGGAAGGGCUUUUUGCUCCAGACACGUUCCCAGUGCCCAGGAGCAGCAGGACCUGUGCUGCUCCCAGCAGGACAGGAAAAACCACUUAACUCAUCCCGUUUUUGCCCAGAGCUUUGGAGUUUGAGCAGCCAAACCCAAUGGGCUCCAGCUGCACUGGAGGGUCCCUGGUCCUGCCCAUGGUGUGGGAUGCUGGAAUUGCCUCUGUGGAUGUGCACUGAGCCCUCGCUGCAGGGAACUGCCAGGCCUUAAUGGUGCCCCACCCAUGUUCCCGGGGGCACUUGCAGAGUUCCCUGGAAUUCCGUGGACUCAGUCGCCUCCGACCAUCAAGACUCUGAGGACUUCUACCCUGGCUCAGGCAAUAUGGAGCAUGCCCACUCUUCAGUUUGAACUGUGUUGUGUACCCCCAUUUUCUUUUUUUUUAAAACAAAAAAGGGGGAGAUGUUGCUGUUCGUUUUGGGUUUGUCCUGUUCUCCCCCCAUUGUCAUGUUGAAGGGUCCUGUCCUGAUUCAGUUAAAUGUCAAUCUCCAAACCCCUCCCCAGUUUCCAUAGUUGCGGUAUGUAUCCUUUUAGUUCUCCAUCCCCGGUUGCCUGCCUGUCACUCGGCACCCCUGCCUCUUUUUCCAGAAACUUCUGGCCAGGGUGUCAGGUGAUUGGCUCAGGGACCAGGGCCCCUCCCUUAGUUAUGUAUGAUUGGUUUUGUCAUUAUGUCAAUCUUCAAUGUAUCCUUCCCUUCUUGCUCCUGAUUUUUUACCACCCUCCCCUCCCACUUUCCUUAUAAAACCAAGGUUUUCCCCUCCUUGGUACUCUCAGCCUCGGGAUUUGUUGGGGGUGUUUGGUCCCUCUGGGGCCUAAUAAACCCAAUUGCACCAAGA